CUUGGUCAUUUAGAGGAAGUAAAAGUCGUAACAAGGUUUCCGUAGGUGAACCUGCGGAAGGAUCAUUAUCGUAAAACUGAGGCGCGAGGGCUGUCGCUGACCUGAACUCAGGUUGUGCACGUCCGAGCGUCCUCAUACAUCCAUCUCACCCCUAUGUGCACCACCGCGCGGGUCUUCCUUUGGCUCGUCCGAAGGGGGGCUUACGUUUUCACACAAACUUUGUAUGCAGUGUAGAAUGUACCUUUGUUUUGCGAUCACGCAAUUAAUACAACUUUCAACAACGGAUCUCUUGGCUCUCGCAUCGAUGAAGAACGCAGCGAAAUGCGAUACGUAAUGUGAAUUGCAGAAUUCAGUGAAUCAUCGAAUCUUUGAACGCACCUUGCGCCCCUUGGCAUUCCGAGGGGCACACCCGUUUGAGUGUCGUGAAAUUCUCAAAACCCUUUUCUUUUUGGGAGAAGGGUUUUGGACUUGGAGGCCUUUUGCUGGCUUUGCCUUGAAGCCAGCUCCUCCUAAAUGAAUUAGUGGGGUCCACUUUGCCGAUCCUUGACGUGAUAAGAUGUUUCUGCGUCUUGUGGUUUGACACUGUCACCCGCUUCUAAUCGUCUCAUUGACAAUUGAUGGUGUUCCGGUCACCACCUCUCUAUGGGGUGGUUGGCUUGACCCACAACAUGACCUUGACCUCAAAUCGGGUGAGACUACCCGCUGAACUUAAGCAUAUCAAUAAGCGGAGGAAAAGAAACUAACAAGGAUUCCCCUAGUAACUGCGAGUGAAGCGGGAAAAGCUCAAAUUUAAAAUCUGGUGGCCUUUGGCCAUCCGAGUUGUAAUUUAGAGAAGCGUCUUCCGCGCUGGACCGUGCACAAGUCUCCUGGAAUGGAGCGUCGUAGAGGGUGAGAAUCCCGUCUUUGGCACGGACAACCAGGGCUUUUGUGAUGCGCUCUCGAAGAGUCGAGUUGUUUGGGAAUGCAGCUCAAAAUGGGUGGUGAACUCCAUCUAAAGCUAAAUAUUGGCGAGAGACCGAUAGCGAACAAGUUCCGUGAGGGAAAGAUGAAAAGCACUUUGGAAAGAGAGUGNACCUNUUAAAANGGNAUUGUUGAAAGGGAAACGCUUGAAGU
rnacentral:rRNA from 1 species